AGAAACAUCUUCUUCAUGUGUUGAACCAGAGAAAAUCAAGAUAAAAAUUGAUUUGGUAAUUGUUACUAACUUGUCUUGAUCAUAUUGUUAGAUCUAAUAGUUAGAUCUAAGAUUUCAGUAUCGAUAAGAUCGAUGUAUAUUUCUAUUUUUUCGAUCUAAAAUACAUCAUAUUUUAUACUUUUCUUCAUAGCAUGGUAGUCU
rnacentral:lncRNA from 1 species